rnacentral:rRNA from 1 species
GAUGAACGCUGGCGGCGUGCCUAAUACAUGCAAGUCGAGCGAACAGACGAGGAGCUUGCUCCUCUGACGUUAGCGGCGGACGGGUGAGUAACAAGUGGAUAAACUACCUAUAAGACCGGGAUAACUUCGGGAAACCGGAGCUAAUACCGGAUAAUAUAUUUAACCGCAUGGUUCAAUAGUGAAAGACGGUUUUGCUGUAACUUAUAGAUGGAUCCGCGCCGCAUUAGCUAGUAGGUAAGGUAACGGCUUACCAAGGCGAAGAUGGGUACCCGACCUGAGAGGGUGAUCGGCCACACUGGAACUGAGACACGGUCCAGACACCUACGGGAGGCCGCAGUAGGGAAUCUUCCGCAAUGGGCGAAAGCCUGACGGAGCAACGCCGCGUGAGUGAUGAUGGUCUUCGGAUCGUAAAACUCUGUUAUUAGGGAAGAACAAAUGUUUAAGUAACUAUGCACGUCUUGACGGUACCUAAUCAGAAAGCCACGGCUAACUACGUG